AAAUCUUAGAAAUUUCACUUUUUCCUCCAAGCUUGCGUAUUCUCUUUCUCCAGUAUCUUGCUUCCAUCGGCGAUCGAGGUUCUUUCGUCUUAUUUUAGUUGCUUCUCCGGCGAUCGGAGUUUGUCAUGGAGCGGACUUCGGAGACUCCGGGCGAUGAUGGGUUGUAUCAUGGUUGGAAGAAUGAUAAAUUUAUUUUCGAAUCGCCUGUUUUGUCCGGUACCCCUGUCAAGGCACUAAAAGUCGACCGGACCGGACUUGCUGCCGCCUGUGGUAGUGCUCCGCCAGUACGCCGUGUAGAACUCCUCUAGCAGAUGUUUCUAAUAAGCCUUUAUUUGGUGGUAGGCAG